rnacentral:rRNA from 1 species
UACGUAGGUGGCAAGCGUUAUCCGGAUUUAUUGGGCGUAAAGAGAACGCAGGCGGUCUUUUAAGUCUGAUGUGAAAGCCUUCGGCUUAACCGGAGUAGUGCAUUGGAAACUGGGAGACUUGAGUGCAGAAGAGGAGAGUGGAACUCCAUGUGUAGCGGUGAAAUGCGUAGAUAUAUGGAGGAACACCGGUGGCGAAAGCGGCUCUCUGGCCUGUAACUGACACUGAGGCUCGAAAGCGUGGGGAGCAAACAGG